ensembl:lncRNA
UAAUUACAUUUGCAACAACUCUUUCCAAAUAAGGUACUCACAUUUCCAAAAGGACAAAUCCUCCUUGAGGAUUUUAUCUUCAUUGACCUGAAAAAAAAGGGCACUUCUCCUAGAAAUGCAAAUAAACUAGAUUUGACUAUGUAUUGAUACUAAACUGCAGGUUCAAGGAUUACAUAAAGGGACAUCCAACAGACAUCAAGCACCCACCCUGUGCUGAGGAGACCAACAGACUGUCUAUACUUGGUGGUAAGGGUGGGAUGGGUAUAUGGAAGUGGGAGGCGCUUACAGAGUGGGAAACAGAGAAGGAAUGAAACUGCAGUUUUAUGGAGGACACAGUAGAAUGGAAGCAAAGGGAGAACCUGGGGGUGAG